rnacentral:ncRNA from 1 species
AGCAUCCUUUUCUUGGGAUUGUGUUACUGUCUGAAGAGUAUAUGGUGAGGGCCGUAUUGUUAAUGCCUACACAACAUGCCUGCAUAAACUAGAGCUUUACUUUACCUUGGCACAAUUUUUGAAUAA